UACGUAGGGUGCAAGCGUUGUCCGGAAUUAUUGGGCGUAAAGAGCUCGUAGGCGGUCUGUCGCGUCGGAUGUGAAAAUCCAGGGCUCAACCCUGGACCUGCAUUCGAUACGGGCAGACUAGAGUUCGGUAGGGGAGACUGGAAUUCCUGGUGUAGCGGUGAAAUGCGCAGAUAUCAGGAGGAACACCGGUGGCGAAGGCGGGUCCCUGGGCCGAAACUGACGCUGAGGAGCGAAAGCGUGGGGAGCAAACAGG
rnacentral:rRNA from 1 species